rnacentral:lncRNA from 13 species
AGUAGCGAAUAGUAUGGAAGGCUUGUUUGAGGAGCUAGUGAGGCUGAAGGUCCACAGUGUCCCAGUAUCGGAUGAAGGAGUUCCUGGAGUCCCUGUCCAACAAGAGCUCAGAGGCACUGCAGGAGUUCAACCAGCAAGCAGGUGUUAUCACUACAACCACCACCAUGGUUUACCAGCAGGGGGUCAACUGCAUCUACACAGACAGCAACGAGGUGGCUGGGUCACUGCUGGAACUGUCUGUCUGCAACAGCAGGUACAGGUGUCCCAGCAGAAGGUGAUGUCAUGACAGCAGCAGCUCUCGCCCCAUAUGACCACAGCCGCAAGGGCAAGACAUAAUACAGACAAAUGACCUAGGAAGAGCUCACAGUGACAAGAAGCAGAGGUCCUCGGGGGACAGGAUCGUCCUUCCGUCCAGUCUAAAGGAUGAGGGUGGACAGGCAUCACACAUGAAAGUGUGUGAAGAGGUGCAGGAAGAAAAUGCAGAGGCUGUGAAAACCCCAUCUGUCUGUGAACCACUGAUUCUUCAGGAUAUUGAGGACUUGGAGGAGUCUACUGUAAAGGAAAGUCCAGUUCCUCCAAAGGACACUGAAGAUACAGAUAAGGCUUCAACCGAGGGCCAACAACUGGUAGAGGAACACAACCCUGACAUCCUCCUACCUCACCCUGUUGAUGCCCUGGAGAAUGCCUAUGUGAACACCCCCCCUGUUUGUGAACCACUGAUUAUUGAGGACUUGGAGGACUCUCCUGACAAGGAAUAUCCAGCUCCCCGAAAGACUGAGGAUGUAGAAUGUGCUUCAGCACAGGGCCAAGAACAGAUCCAGGUAGAUAAGGACCGAGAUAAGGACAAAGACCAUGAUAUGCCCCUCCCUUGCUGCUUAGAUAACCUGAAGAAGCGCUUCUACCAGAGCAGGGACCGCCAGAUCAGGGAAAGACACUGGGCCCAGUUCAGAGCAGAGACCCUGAGGGUGGCCCACCAAGGGAUAGUUGUCCUGCAACGUGACCUGGAGCUGGAGCUGGAGCGGGUUAGAGAGGGCCUAGAGGAUAGACGGCAGCGCAGAGAGAGGGACCAUUACACUCUGGCCCAAGUGAAGAGAGAGAGACAGAAAAAGAGAGAAGAGCAGAUAAAAGGAUGGAUGGAAAAGUGGAUGAUAGGGAGGGAAGAGGAGAGCCAGGGGGAAGAAGGUGCGGAAGAGGGGGAGACAGAGGAAGAGGAGAAAGAGGGAGAGGAGGAAAGUGAAAAGGAAGAGGAGAGUGAGGAUGAAGAGGGUGAUACAGAGGGAGCGGAAGAGAAGGAGAAAGAGGAGAAGGUGGAGGAGGGAGACAGGGAGGGGAGUGAAGAGGAGAGUGAGGAGGAUGAAGAGAGCGAGGAGGAGGAUGGCAUAGAGACUAUCUGCAAGGAGGUGAAGAUGCAGAUGCACUUGAUCAAGGGCGACAUUGAGCAUGAUAUGAAGAAUGACUAUGAGCAGAACAAGAAUAGGGAAGUCCAGGACCGGAAGAUGUUGACCACCCUGCUGCAGUGCUUGGAGUCAGUCUACCAGACACGCACUGAGGAGAUACUGGGCAAGAUAGGCAUGCUGUGGGACAUCAUGAUCAACAACAUGCUCCAGGACCUCCAUGGAAGGAGAGCAGCCCAGAAGUCAGUGUCUGCCCAGACUGCGCAGUAUCUCCACUUCUGCCACAGUCCCCGUCUGGCCCCCAUUACCCCUCUGACUGAUGCGGGCAGGAGGCUCCUCAAGGGAUGGGCAAGAGGCCAACAGGAUGACGAGGCAAAGAAGACUGGCAAAGGGAAAGGGAAGAAGAAAAAGAAGAAGACACAGAGAGAACAAGUGAAGGAUGAGGAGAAAGACAGUCAGUUGCUGCAGAAGGAGGAAAUGGUGGAAAGUAAGCCAGAAGAGAAUAAAAAGUCAGGGUUUCUCCAAUUGCUGCUGCUCAAACUGACAUGCAUUCAAUGAUGACAAAAUAUUUAGAAAAAAUAAAGUUUGAAACCAGCUUGAUUUUGUUUUUGAUUUUGAUAAUCUUUGGUUUAUCCAUCUGGGUUUCACCCAAUGAUUGCAUAUAAACUCUGGAUUACUGAUACUAUGUAUUGGCCAAUGAGAGGCUUUAAAGCCACCGGUCAGCCAUAUUGGUGCUCCCCAGAAGAAGCAGUCCUCCAUAUGAAUGAAUGGAAUUAUACAGUAUUUCAAUUAAAUGUUCUAAAGACACAUUUGUUGAUGUAGUGGGAACAGUAACAGAACUUAAAAAAAUAUAUACUUAAAGGAAAAUGUUAAUAUAGUUUUCAAUUUUAUGUUCAGUUUAUAUAAUACAAUUUUAAAGUGUGCAUUAAUGUGUCUGUACUAGAAUAAAACUGGCAAAAACAAAUGUAGAUGUUAAUAAAUUGAUUUUUAUAGCUUCCAAAAUAAAAAAAAACACAGUGGAGGAGUGCCAAAUAGGAGGCUGGCUUCAACACAGCGCCUCCUGUUAGGUAUCUAGUAGUAGUGCAUUCUGAGAGUAUUGAGACCCCUCCACUUUUUCCACAUUUUGUUACGUUACCGCCUUAUUUUAAAAUGGAUUUAAAAAAUCAAUCAAUCAAUACAAUAUACCCCAGUAGAAAGAAGAAGAGGAGGAAGCACUGCUAUAAGGUACACAAUAGUAUAUUUUGGUAGAUAGAAGGGGCUCUUUGGUAAAAGGGGUAAAUUGGUUAUCCAAAAGAAAGGAGGACCAAGGCACUCUUCAUAUAAGUAAUUUAAAUGCCUUUAUUUGUAUGGCAUGUUCAAAAACAAAGUUUUUAAAAUCCGAUGCGUUUUGGCUGCAUGGCCUUCCUCAGGGAGUACAAAGAAAUUAUAAUACAAUGUCCUCUUUUGAACAGCGUUUUCCAAUCGGCCCUAAUUUGAAGAGGGAGUGGUUACAAAAUUGAUUGGACAACACCUAGUAAGUAAUACAAAACACAUUAAAAAGUGAAAUUCUGAAGAUAUGUUAUCAAAAAAUUCAACUCCAAGCUAGAAGCAUCAGAAUGCCUUGAAAGGUAGUUCUGACCUUAAAUAUGACUGGGAAAAGUGCCAAGAAUAGGAGAGCCAUCUAUUCCAUAGUACACUAGAACACAGCAAACAUAGCUGAGGGCAAUAGAGCAAAAUGUCCACUCGAUGACAGCAAAGGGACCUAUCACAACCCUACAGGAAAGGUGAGAAAUUCAUAUCUUCAUUUAAACCAGGCAUUUUUUUAUAUUAUGUUGCUUUACAACCUCAAAUUAAAAUACAUUUUUGGGGGGUUUGAAUCAUUUGAUUUACACAACAUGCCUACCACUUUCAAGAUGCAAAAUAUUUUUUAUUGUGAAAUAAGACAAAAAAAACGGAUAACUUGAACGUGCAUAAUUAUUCA